CCACUCUCAAAACACAAAAAAGAAAAAAACAAGUCCAAAUUUCAUCUAAAUCUCUUUCUGAAGUUAGGGCAAGAAGAUUUGCGGGUUUCUGUGAUUGAUCUAAGUAUUUGCAGAAUAUCUUCUAUCGGAAGCUAUGGAAGUUGGUGAUGGUCAGCUUACUGUUAAUGGGGCGACUUAUGAUUUACCGUUGCGUGUGGUGGUAGGAAUUGCUUCAGAUAUUGAGGCUUUUGAUGUCACUUGCCCAUUAUGUGAUUACGUCAUGCGAGAGAACCCGUUUGUCUUUCACCCCCACCAAGUCAUUCGUGGAAGACUCGACGUGGAGUGCAGCGGAUGCAAUGGAGUGGUCUUCGAAUACCUAGGAUUGGAUGAAGAUGGUAGACAUGAGAUCUGAGGUCGGAACUUUGUUUGUGGGUUUGGUUGGUUUAAGACAAAAACUGAAUUUUAUUUUAAGAAGCGCAGGACAUAAGGAUCAGGGAAAUACAACUUUUGUGUUAUUAGUUAACCAAAUUUUAAUUAGACUCAGUUAACUAUGUUAAGGUUAGUAUUUCUGUAGAUGUUUUGAGUUUUGACACCAUAACACAAAGAAACAUUUCAUAUCUAGGAAAACAACAUUUCAGAUUAUGUGGUCAAAAGAUAGUUUCACUCUUUCACUUUCUUCUGUUCAUGUGAGUAAGUGGACAUAAUUCUUAA